ensembl:processed_transcript 1700066O22Rik RIKEN cDNA 1700066O22 gene
UCCCUCAAAACAUCUCACAAGUCAGAUGCAGGCAUGAGGACAGAUGGAGAAACAUCACAGAGCCGUCAUUUCUGGAAAUUGACUCAACACAGGGGAUCUAAGCUGACAGAGCUGGGAUUCAGAGCUAUGCCUUCCAGCUCCCUAACACAGGCUUGAGCAGGUCUAACAUCCUGCUGUUCCUGUAUCCCAUUUCAUUAAAACCCACAUAGUGGUUCCCAUGGGCUGAGGCUCACAUGUAGAUGAUGGUUCGUAACAUUUUAUGAAAGGAAGAUCAACCCAGAAAUGGUUAGCACGAGGUAUUAAAUACUUAAGGAAGCAUGCAAAGGCUGAUGUAGCAGGAUGCUGACCAACAUAAUGUGUGUCUCCCUAGAGCAUCUGCAGAUAAUUUAGUAGUUGUCCACUGUGAAAGAAAUGCAUUGAAUGAAAUAUAUUUCAAACAACACAAUCGGAAGCAUCGUGGAACUACUCAAAUGAUAAUUCCUAUUUGUAUUCAUUGCCAUGAAAAUAUGCCUGUCAUAUAUUUUCAAAUAAAACAAACUACAAAAACCAUGU